AACGAACGCUGGCGGCAGGCUUAACACAUGCAAGUCGAACGCCCCGCAAGGGGAGUGGCAGACGGGUGAGUAACGCGUGGGAAUCUACCUAGUUCUACGGAACAACAGUUGGAAACGACUGCUAAUACCGUAUACGCCCUACGGGGGAAAGAUUUAUCGGAAUUAGAUGAGCCCGCGUAAGAUUAGCUAGUUGGUGGGGUAAUGGCCUACCAAGGCGACGAUCUUUAGCUGGUCUGAGAGGAUGAUCAGCCACACUGGGACUGAGACACGGCCCAGACUCCUACGGGAGGCAGCAGUGGGGAAUAUUGGACAGUGGGCGCAAGCCUGAUCCAGCCAUGCCGCGUGAGUGAUGAAGGCCUUAGGGUUGUAAAGCUCUUUCACCGAUGAAGAUAAUGACGGUAGUCGGAGAAGAAGCCCCGGCUAACUUCGUGCCAGCAGCCGCCGUAACAC
rnacentral:rRNA from 1 species